AUAUAUAUAUAGUGUGAGGCUAUUAUGCUUUUGGAAGCACAGAGCCUUCCGUGCUUCCACGUCGUUUUCGAUGUUGCGAUUUUCAAAUCGUCGAUCGGCUUCGUUAAACUUGAUUUAGAGUAUUUGAAGUACCUAGAAAAUAAAUUUUAUGAUUUUUCGAUAUCAUUUGCCUAGUGAUCGAAGGGGCUCAAAAUCAAUAAUUUUAAUGGCCGUAGUGAGCCGUUUGCAAGUUUAACGGUGUAAAAAUAUCCAAAUGACGUAAAAUUUUGAUAGAAAAUUUUUUAUACUAUAUAAAACAAGAGCGAUAUCUUUGAUCUAAAAUUUUAAUGUCAUAUUAUCACGUUUUGUAAAAUUUUUAUUUUCAGGCGUUGAUUUUGAACCCCUUCGUUCUUCGUUCACUAGGCAAAUAAUAUCAAAUAAUCAUAUAAUUUAUUUUCUAGGUACUUCAAAUACUCUAGAUUAAGUUUAACGAAACCGAUCGACGAUUCGAAAGUCGCAACAUGGAAAAUGACCCGGAAGCAUGGAAGGCUCCGUGCUUCCAGAAGCAUAGUAGCCUCAAUC
rnacentral:lncRNA from 1 species